rnacentral:rRNA from 1 species
AUUGAACGCUGGCGGCAUGCUUUACACAUGCAAGUCGAACGGUAACAGGUUAAGCUGACGAGUGGCGAACGGGUGAGUAAUGCAUCGGAACGUGCCCGGUCGUGGGGGAUAACGCAGCGAAAGCUGCGCUAAUACCGCAUACGAUCUGAGGAUGAAAGCGGGGGACCGUAAGGCCUCGUGCGAUCGGAGCGGCCGAUGUCAGAUUAGGUAGUUGGUGGGGUAAAGGCUCACCAAGCCAACGAUCUGUAGCUGGUCUGAGAGGACGACCAGCCACACGGGGACUGAGACACGGCCCAGACUCCUACGGGAGGCAGCAGUGGGGAAUUUUGGACAAUGGGCGAAAGCCUGAUCCAGCAAUGCCGCGUGCAGGAAGAAGGCCUUCGGGUUGUAAACUGCUUUUGUACGGAGCGAAAAGGUCUCCUCUAAUACAGGGGGCUCAUGACGGUACCGUAAGAAUAAGCACCGGCUAACUACGUGCCAGCCGCCGCGGUAA